AUUGAACGCUGGCGGCAGGCUUAACACAUGCAAGUCGAGCGGGGGAAGGUAGCUUGCUACUGGACCUAGCGGCGGACGGGUGAGUAAUGCUUAGGAAUCUGCCUAUUAGUGGGGGACAGCAUCUCGAAAGGGAUGCUAAUACCGCAUACGUCCUACGGGAGAAAGCAGGGGACCUUCGGACCUUGCGCUAAUAGAUGAGCCUAAGUCGGAUUAGCUAGUUGGUGGGGUAAAGGCCUACCAAGGCGACGAUCUGUAGCGGGUCUGAGAGGAUGAUCCGCCACACUGGGACUGAGACACGGCCCAGACUCCUACGGGAGGUAGCAGUGGGGAAUAUUGGACAAUGGGGGGAACCCUGAUCCAGCCAUGCCGCGUGUGUGAAGAAGGCCUUAUGGUUGUAAAGCACUUUAAGCGAGGAGGAGGCUACUUUAGUUAAUACCUAGAGAUAGUGGACGUUACUCGCAGAAUAAGCACCGGCUAACUCUGUGCCAGCAGCCGCGGUAA
rnacentral:rRNA from 1 species